CAUCAUAGAAGGCUUUUAAAGCAACCUUCCAUUUUCAAUUGCCAAAAAUCGAACAGUUUCUUGAACUGCUGUUAUUAAAGUAGAUACACAAGUGGUAGUACGAAUGGGAAGGAUGUCGCGUCGACGCCCUAUGGAAUCUAUAAUUACAAUUGCAUCCAAAGCUAAUUUUGCUCCUCCAAGAGGAUGCAGCAUUCCCAUCUCUCUACAAAUUUCAUUGUUAGAAUCCGAAAUAACUGGUAAUGAAAAUUGUAGAGCACGAGGCAGAUGGGCUUUCCAUUGACAUAUAUUUUCAACCGUAUCAGUAGUGAUACCAAUCACAUCUGUGUUGUAGGAUUGCAGACAUGGAUAAAAGUGACUAAUGACAGAUAUGUGAAGUGGGACGUUGUCAACAUAACCAUAAUCACCGCUGACAUUACCAAAGAAACAGAGAACAAAUGAAGAGAAUAGUAUAGGUAAUUUAUGAAUUUCAUUUAUUCCACCGAUACCAUUUACAACGUAAACGGGUUUGGAAAGAUUAAUGAAACAUGGUUCAAAUACUACUUCCAUAUCUUCUUCCCUAAUGACACGUGCAUGGUUCAUUCCGUUCCUAAACGAACUCUUUAUAUGGGGAUGCAUACCACGCGUUUCUUCAUCUUUCGUAGAGCUUCUUCUUUUUUUUGUAGAUUUAACUCUUAAAGUACAAUUUUUCUCGUGAACAGCAUCACGAGUCGAAAUGGGAAACUGGAAAAGGUUUUGGUCGAUUUCCAUUUUC